rnacentral:misc_RNA from 1 species
CUGCGGAUCGAUAGUGUAUGCACUAUAUUGCAUACAUAUAGAUACACGAUAUUAUAAGGCACGUCCAGGCUGCUCCUGCAGAUAUUAUAGUGAUAAUAAUAAUAAAUUGAUUUUCAAACGUAGAAACAAUGGAUUUCAACGUUAAAAAAUUGGUUAAAGAUGCUGGAACCGCGCUCAGCAGAGUUGUGCAGCUCACCGAGGAGAAGCUCGGAACAUCUGAGAAAACCGAGCUGGAUGCUCACUUUGAAUUCCUCGCUGACAGAGCAGAUGCGACUAAAACUUGGACUGAGAAAAUCCUCAAGAAUACAGAGGCAAUGCUCACACCAAAUCCAGGCAACAGAAUCGAGGAUUUCUUCUUUGAAAAAAUCGACAAAAAAAAGCCAAACCGACUCAGCAACUUGGAAUAUGUUGGCAUUGACAUGAUCGAAGCUGGGAAUGACUUUGGUCCUGGAACUGCUUACGGUGGGGCACUGAUCAAAGUUGGGCAAUGUCAACAGAAAUUGGGGCAGAUAGAGAGAGAUUUCAUCGGCACAGCGGCAAACUGCUAUGUUCAACCGUUGAGGAAGUUUUUGGAUGGAGACAUGAAGACUAUCAGCAAAGAGCGAACAAUUCUAGAAACCAAACGGCUUGAUUUGGAUGCUUCCAAAAAUAGAGUUCGAAAAGCGAGGAGCAUGCUGGGUCAACAGAGCGAAUCUGGCGUUUCUCCUGAAGUUUUACUCGAUCAGGCAGAAAGGGAGCUAAGAGUAGCGCAGUCCGAAUUCGAUCGGCAAUCCGAGAUUACGAAGUUCUUGUUGGAAGGAGUAUCCAGUUCGCAGGCAGGCCACCUUCGCUGUUUACAUGAGUUCGUUGAGGCGCAGGCUCGCCAUUAUGCUCAGUGUCACGCAGCGAUGCAAGACUUGCAGCGAGAGCUGGCUGGCAUGUCCGGAGCAACCUUCCACCCGUCCACCCCACCGUCUCCUUCCGCACCGGCGGAGAACGGCCAGGAACGAGCUCGAGUGAUCUGUGACUACGAUGCGAGGGAUCCGAGUGAAUUGAGCCUGAUGCAAGAUGAGGUGAUUUGUGUAUCUAAGAUUCCUGGGGAUGGAGAUUAUCUGAUGGGAGUUAGAGGCAAUCAGCGAGGCAAAGUACCCAAGGCUUUUCUGGAACCAAUUGUAGCUUCCUAAUAAGUAAUUCCGCUUGUUUAUAGCUUGAACUGUUGCAACAGUUUGAAAAUCGAUGAAAAACAAAACAUAAGGUUGUCAGGAUUAUUAACCACUUCUUUUUUAAUCCAAAAAAAUUUACAAUGUCAUUGUAAAAUCUUGAAGAGGCAAUCAGAUUUUCUAACGUGGCUUUAACAUUCGAAGUUUAACGGAUUCUAACUUCGGAACGGUAGAGAUAUCAAGAAACUAAACAACACAGGUGAUUGUCUUUCAGAUAACUACAAUAUAUUGAGAUUACAAUAAAAUUGGGAAUGGUGACUGUCCGAUGUUUGGUUCAACUGCAAAUGUAUGUUUUGAAAUUGCAAUUGUUGUAUAAUAUUCAGACAAAUAGUUUUAAGCAUUUUGCAUAGUGCCUAUGUGGCUAAUGAGCGACAAUGUGUAUUGUACCAAUUAGUAGAGAAUUCGAUAGAUGUAGGGGAUUUGUGGUUCUGAAUUUUUUUCAAAUCCAAAACAAAUCGUAUUGCAACUUAUUGCUACAUUCUAUUUUGUAUAUUUGGUUUAGUACCGACAUAUUGAUAGAUCAAUUAUUUAUUAACUAAUAUAUUAUGUUGCCUAUUAUUUUUAACAUAUUGAGCUUGUCUAUUCGGUUUAAACGAGCGGUGUGUAUAAUGAAAAUUUAACGUAAAAUAUUGAUAAUCAACAUAUUUUGAAAGUCGGUUGUGGUCAGAUAAUUUUUAAUCAAGACAAGCAACGGGCUUAGCUAACUGUUUCAAUCGAACAGUCAAACUAAUAAGGAGUGCUGUUACUUGUUUCAUUUUUUUUUUCAUGGUCGUUGUAAAAACAUUACUCCUUGAAAAUUUGCAGAAAUAAGAGAAUGUUCUAACGGUUUCAAAGAGAUUUUCAGUAAAUUCACCUGUUUUCUGAAUGUUUCAACAUAUGAGAAUAAAUCCUGAAAUAUCAAAACAUCAUGGGUAUUAGUGAAUAACUAGAACAGGGUUGAUCCCUGACAUGUACAUAAAUUAAAACAAAUUAUUCCAAUAAUCUUAAUUCUUCAAUAAUCAGUAGAUUCCAAGGGCGGUGCGUCGUUAUUACACACUGUUUGUCAGAUAUUUGGAGUGAAUAAUAUUGAAGAAUACGCCCAAUUUUUAGAAAAUGCGCUUAUAAUAUGUACAAUAAAUUUAGAUAUAGUGAUCCACAUUUCUGCAAUAACUUCGUCAAUACAAUAAAUUAUAUUAUAUUAUAAUGUUAAAUCGAUUUCUCAUUACUUAAUUGUAAUAAGGUGAUAACUAAGUAACCAUGUUAAAAUUAUUACCCUGUUAAAGUUUAAGUAUAAAUCUACAAUAUAAUGAUGCAAUUAUUAUGUAUAUGGUUACUAUAUUAAAUAUACACAUUUGCUGAUGUUGGGAAGUUCAAUACUCAGUUUGUGAGUUGAAUUGAAAUAGUUACAAAUCGCUCCGACAAGAUCAAAAAACUUCUCUGAAAUCUUUUAGGUAUAUACUAUUUUACCGGAAAGUUCUGAGAAAGAUUCCCUAUUAGUUCUGGCAAACUUUGAAUUCUUUUGAUAAAUUCGGAGGAUUAUCAAAAAAUUCUAAAAAAUUCUAAAAAUCCAUAAUACGAGUUUUCCUCUUUCUGCCCAUUUAUGAUCAAUGAAUCGAGUUAGAGGUAACAAUUGCACCAAUUUCUUGAGAGAACUGGUAUUUUUCUGAACUUCAUUCCAUAUCUGAAAACUGAGAUAAUCUGAGUUUUCGUAUUUUUGCGUAUUUUCCGACAGUACCACGUUA